rnacentral:rRNA from 1 species
UACGUAGGGUGCGAGCGUUGUCCGGAAUUAUUGGGCGUAAAGAGCUUGUAGGUGGUUUGUCGCGUCUGCUGUGAAAAUCCGGGGCUCAACCCCGGACUUGCAGUGGGUACGGGCAGACUAGAGUGUGGUAGGGGAGACUGGAAUUCCUGGUGUAGCGGUGGAAUGCGCAGAUAUCAGGAGGAACACCGGUGGCGAAGGCGGGUCUCUGGGCAGUAACUGACGCUGAGGAGCGAAAGCGUGGGGAGCGAACAGG